GCGGGUAUGGUUUAAUGGUAAAACAUCUGCCUUCCAAGCAGAUGACGCGGGUUCAAUUCCCACUAUCCGCUCCA
rnacentral:tRNA from 1 species